CGCCGCCGCUUCCCCUUCCGGCCUCCCCGUGAGGGCACGGGAGCGCUUAAAGGGCCCGCGCGCCCGGCGCCGUGUGGGGAACGACAGAACGUCUUACUAAGUGCAGGAGGAGGACUAAAGCCAGCUCCUUCCAGCAGCAGGGAGACACGGGCACACGUUCCUACUUCGGGCCACCAGAGGGAGCAAGAUCUCUGGGCAUGAGGAUUCGGCAAGCUAACAAACACUCACUACAAUGGAGAGAAACGGCACAUAAGGUAAAUACCUGAGCUUUCACUUCCUCCUAACACUCCUCAAUAGCGAGAAAGCAAAAGUGUCCUGCUGUGAUAAUGUUAUCAUAAAGGGUAGCAUGGGAAUAUUUCAAUCUUAGGCACAAUGAAAAACAGUUUAAACCAAUGAUAAAAGCUUUGGCUGAACCAAUCAGGAAAACUGACUACUAGCAUUAAAAGGAAAAAAACCCACAAAUGUUAUUUAUUAACUUCAGUUGACAAUUAGUGGCCUUUAUAGUUUUUAAUGUCCUCUGAAAAUUUAAUCUGUAAUGUAUUAAAAAAUAAUAGGGUAAACGGAGUGAAACUUUUUAACUAUAAACAACUGGAGCUUACAGAAUCCUCAGUGAAUGUCUUUUGGUAUUAGCAUACAAAAGGCCUGCACGUUGUAAAGCCCUGCAAGGAGUGCAGAGCCUUGCUCACCUGAACUCUGAGUUACUUCUGAUAUAAAAUAUGACCAAACUAAAACACUUAGAUGCCCAAAUCCUUCUCCCAUCUUCAAAGCAUACUGAGCCAUUAGAAAAAGUGCCACGGGCAUUGAAGGGACUGAAGCACUUGGGUAAAAAGGUCAAAAGGUGCGAGGAAAAAAAAUAACAUUUAAAAGGCACAACAUUUUAAGGACAUGAUCAGUGUCUCUUUGCAUGCGCUAUAGACGUCGAAACUCAAAAGUUUGAUCCGCUUACACACUAUACAAGGAUAUUUCCACAAAGCUUUAAGAGCCUUCCUCCUAGGAAAGAGAAACAGGUGCCCUUUCCUCACUAAAGUAGUCCGUAAGGACAUUUAUUUUGGUUGCAGCCCUGUGCUAACUUGCUUGAAGCUGAGCUCAGAUGCCCAUGAAAAUCAGUCUUUAUGCUUACACAUGUACACCAUGAGUGGAAAAUGGAGAGCAGAAAAAAGCAAAGAGCUUUUGGUUGGAAUAAUACAUGAAAAAAUAUACUACAGUCUCAAAUAAUUGCAUAAAAAGCAAGUUUUAUGCAAGUUACAACUCUAUGGAAAGCUAUGUUGGGAAAGAUGAUAAAAGAAGACAACUGACUAGUCUUUGCACAAUUGAGACAAACUAGGCAAACAGGAUUGUGUCAGUGCACAGAAAACUACGCAGGACUGGAGAACAAUUAAUUAAAUGUCACCUAGGUUGAAUGUGGUCUAUCAACUGCUUCCUAAAGCUGCUGCAUUUUAAUUCAUCUGAAAUACUACACGUUGGGCAUGAAAACUUCCUUGUCUCACCAGUAUCUAAGAGCCAAGUACAUUUUUGCCUGACACCAAAGUCAGCUGAUAGUUACAGACUAUUUUAAAUAGCUUAUGUAUUUUCUGAGAUUACUCAAAACUUUAGAAGCAUUUUGUCAAAAAUCCCUCCUUCCUACCAAUUGAGGGGCAGUGCCUGGAAGUGCCACUAGCAAUUCUCACCCUCUCUCAUGUAUUGAUGAGCUGAUUUAAGUCCAAGCAGGACAGCAAAAUGUGGGCCAGAGAAGGACAAAGACUACUUUGAAGAAGCAGUUUGCAGCAAAGUUAACUGGAUGUAUUCACCCAGGACAAAGUAAUAAAAAUUGGAAACCUUCAUCUCUGACUUUGAAAUAACUUCUGGAGAAAUAACCAUUUCACCAGAAAGCCAAACGUAGUUCAGAGGGGGAAGAAAGAAAUGACAGUGACAUUCAUGAAUUAUCCAGUUCUGUAACUUUGAGAAUUGCCCAUUUUUAGAGCCUCGGAAAUCAUCAUGUUAACUAUCCUCACAACAGAUUCCCACAGCAGUUUUGCUAUGCAGACAUAUUCAAAAACAAUUAAAAUCAUUACCUCCAAAUUCUUUUCUAGCAGGUGCAGGACUCCUACCGCCUGACAGUAUUUAAGAAAUGAAUGCAGCAAUAAUAAAAAAUAUCAGUGUAGUAGAAGGGAAGAAAAAGAACGAGAAAGUUAAAAAUCACAAGGGUCAGUUUGUUAUUAACUAUGUUGCCCAAAUGCUUCUGAACAUCCAGUUUCUCUUAGUGCUCAAUUGUUCACACUGUCAG